rnacentral:lncRNA from 1 species
UCUUUCGCUCGCAAUAAGCCUCAGCAACUUACCAGACCGCACUCCACAAGUGCACUGAUUCGGAUUCAACCUCAGUCCGAAUUGUCUUCACCGGUCCAUCAACUUGACCAAGUCUACCACAUGCCCUUCUUCUGUAUGGGACUUAGCUAUCAUGCCAUCAACAUAGCAUUCGACUUCAUAAUGAAUCAUAUCAUGAAACAUAGUCACCAUAACUCUUUGAUACGUGGCACCGGCAUUCUUGAGACUGAAC